rnacentral:Y_RNA from 1 species
AUGGCGAAUGCAGGUGGAAAUACAUAGUGAAGUGGUCGCGGGUUCGAGUCCCGUCGGCUCCGCAUCGAUGGGGCCGUAGCUCAGUGGUAGAGCGCUUUUCAAUUUUCACCGCUCUUUGUCGCCAUCCU